AGUGAUGAAGCCCUUCGGGGUGUAAAGCUCUUUCGGCAGGAACGAUAAUGACGGUACCUGCAGAAGAAGCUGCGGCUAACUACGUGC
rnacentral:rRNA from 1 species